rnacentral:lncRNA from 1 species
CGAAGGGAGAGGGAGAGAGAGAAUCUUAAGCAGGCUCCCGGCCCACCACAGGGCACAAUGUGAGGAUGGAUCUUAGAACCCUGAGAUCAUGACCUGAGCCAACAUCAAGAGUAGGGCACUUAACCAAUUGAGCUACUCAGGCACCUCAAAAUUUAAUGUAUCUUAGAAAAAAAAUCUGAUUAAAAAAAAAGGAAGUCUGCUUUGCAGAUAAACAGAUGGACUACAUCUUCCUCUGCAAAUGAUGUUGUAAGGGUAAUGUUUUUUAAAUAUGGGGCUAAGAAUAUCAUCCAUCUUCAGAUGUACCAACACUAACACAAAGGAAAAAAACAAAAGAAUCAGAAACACGGCAAUGAUGGCAUCAGUCCAUUGUUCUUUACCAAAUACUAUGAGAAGGUGAUAUAGUGAUACAUGAAGUUGUAGUUUCACCUCUGCAUGCCACAGGCUUCAGGUUUUU